CCCCUCUCAGUGUCGCAUCUGGAGAGUUUUCAGUCCUCUACCAAACACGACUACAGGAGGAAGAGUCAAGCAGAGUCAUACCCAUUCCAUUCCUAGCUUGGGCAGUGGCUAGUGAGUGGAAGGCAAUCUGUUACAAGC